UAUACAGCAUGGAACAGGGCUCCACAAGGACAUGAAUACCAGGUGGCAGGGAUCACUGGGCCAUCUCUCUAAAUCAGGAAUGAAACAUUUGCAACCUGUGUCUCCCAAACAUGAUAUGUCUCAAUCAUCAAAGGAUCUACAGUGACUACGAUAACCAAGUGCUACAAAAACGCUGUGACAAGGAAUCUGAACAAUAGAGAUUUGAGGGAAACAAAGCACUUUCGACGAAGGUCCUGCUGCUUGUCUUCAGCUCGGUACCAAUUAGAGCUUCACUGGAGGUGAAAAGAGAUUUUUAGGGAUGCAAGAUGAAAGCAGCUAAACACAACUAUAGGAAAUGGAGGCUGUUAUCAGCAUCUAGCUUAGGAUGGCGAGCCAAGCAUGGCUCUCAGGUGCAACUCACAUGGAGACGUGGCUCUCAGGUAAAAGAUGCUGCUGUCGGGCAUGAAAAAUACAACACAAAUUUUAUGAGCAAUAAUCACACCUCCUCUGAAUCAUCUGUUUGAGUUCUUCCAGGUUUGAAAUAAUGGAACCUGCACAAGGACAAUGAAUCGCGGCAUGUCUUCCAAGGAAAAACUGUAACUAAAUCUAUGGCAAGUUUUUGGAUUAGAAAAAUCUAGACUUCGUGAAGAUAAGAGCAGAGCUGUGGAAAAGUAAGACAAAGAAAUCAUCCAACAAUACAAGCAACAUACAAGAGGGCUUAUGUCACUUCUGUCCUCCUUCCCAGCCAAGUAAAGCAAAAGAGAAACAACUUUCAAAAGGACUGAAACACUAUGGACUCAAUUUCCAUGUGCUGCACUAAAUGGGGUCCUUAGAGCAUCCCGGGCUGUCUUUGCUCUGAUUUUAUCAGAGUAAAAAAUUUAAAUUUUGCUUAUGAUAGGCUGAAGUUCUUAUA